AUAUCCAUAGCGAGAAAGAACUACAGGAUUCCCCUAGUAACGGCGAGUGAAGCGGGAAGAGCUCAAAUUUGUAAUCUGGCACUUUCAGUGUCCGAGUUGUAAUCUCGAGAAGUAUUUUCCGCGCCGGACCGCAUACAAGUCUGUUGGAAUACAGCGUCAUAGUGGUGAGAACCCCGUAACUGAUGCGGAUGCCCGGUGCUUUGUGAUAUACUUUCGAAGAGUCGAGUUGUUUGGGAAUGCAGCUCAAAUUGGGUGGUAAAUUCCAUCUAAAGCUAAAUAUUGGAGCAAGACCGAUAGCGAACAAGUACCGUGAGGGAAAGAUGAAAAGCACUUUGGAAAGAGAGUUAACAGUACGUGAAAUUGUUGGAAGGGAAACGCUUGAAGUCAGACUUGCUAUUCGGAGUUCAGCCGCAAGGUGUAUUCUUCGAUUCGCAGGCCAGCAUCAGUUUUCGGGGGUGGAAAAUCGCGGUUUGAAGGUAGCAACCUCGGUUGUGUUAUAGCUUUCCGCUGGAUUCAUCCUUGGGGACUGAGGAACGCAGUACGCUUUUUGCAAGGCUCUCGAGCUUUUCGUACUUAGGAUGCUGGUGGAAUGGCUUUAAACGACCCGUCUUGAAACACGGACCAAGGAGUCUAACAUGCUUGCGAGUGUUUGGGUGUCAAACCCGGACGCGCAAUGAAAGUGAAUGGAGGUGGGAUCCGCAAGGUGCACCAUCGACCGAUCUGGAUUUUCUAAGAUGGAUUUGAGUAAGAGCAAUUAUGUUGGGACCCGAAAGAUGGUGAACUAUGCCUGAAUAGGGCGAAGCCAGAGGAAACUCUGGUGGAGGCUCGUAGCGGUUCUGACGUGCAAAUCGAUCGUCAAAUUUGGGUAUAGGGGCGAAAGACUAAUCGAGCAUCUAGUAGCUGGUCUGC
rnacentral:rRNA from 1 species